CUGCCACCUGCAGCAGCUCAAUUACUCUCUGGGCCUGGAUGCUCCCCUGUGUGAGGGCACCAUGCCCACCUGCAGCUUCCCUGAGUACUUCAUCGGGAACAUGCUGCUGAGUCUCUUGGCCAGCUCUGUCUUCCUGCACAUCAGCAGCAUCGGGAAGUUGGCCAUGAUCUUUGUCUUGGGGCUCAUCUAUUUGGUGCUGCUUCUGCUGGGUCCCCCAGCCACCAUCUUUGACAACUAUGACCUACUGCUUGGCGUCCAUGGCUUGGCUUCUUCCAAUGAGACCUUUGAUGGGCUGGACUGCAGGUGGAGUCGACUGCCCGCCUAGACUUCCUCUGGAAACUACAGGCAACAGGGGAGAAGGAGGAGAUGGAGGAGCUACAGGCAUACAACCGGAGGCUGCUGCAUAACAUUCUGCCCAAGGACGUGGCGGCCCAUUUCCUGGCCCGGGAGCGCCGCAAUGAUGAACUCUACUAUCAGUCGUGUGAGUGUGUGGCGGUUAUGUUUGCCUCCAUUGCCAACUUCUCUGAGUUCUAUGUGGAGCUGGAGGCAAACAAUGAGGGUGUCGAGUGCCUGCGG
rnacentral:sRNA from 1 species